UUGGGAAUAAAAGCACAAUAAUUGCUAAGAACAUACACAAUAAUAUGCAAGCAAAUAUGUGUAAAACUAUGCUUAUCACCUAUCUAGCAUGCCAUACAUAAAUUUCUAACUAGUCAUUGAUAACAUUUCAUGCCCAUUAUAGACCAGGAUAAACAUAACAAAUUAAAUAUACUACUGCGGAAGGUCUAGAAUAUAAAAUAAUUAAAAAAUAUGAAAGUAUAAAUUAUUUACAAUAGGCCCAAUGAAGAAGAAAGUCAG
rnacentral:lncRNA from 1 species